rnacentral:rRNA from 1 species
GAUGAACGCUGGCGGCGUGCCUAAUACAUGCAAGUCGAGCGAACGGACGAGAAGCUUGCUUUUCUGAUGUUAGCGGCGGACGGGUGAGUAACACGUGGAUAACCUACCUAUAAGACUGGGAUAACUUCGGGAAACCGGAGCUAAUACCGGAUAAUAUUUUGAACCGCAUGGUUCAAAAGUGAAAGACGGUCUUGCUGUCACUUAUAGAUGGAUCCGCGCUGCAUUAGCUAGUUGGUAAGGUAACGGCUUACCAAGGCAACGAUGCAUAGCCGACCUGAGAGGGUGAUCGGCCACAAUGGAACUGAAACAAGGUUCAGACUCCUACGGGAGGCAGCAGUAGGGAAUCUUCCGCAAUGGGCGAAAGCCUGACGGAGCAACGCCGCGUGAGUGAUGAAGGUCUUCGGAUCGUAAAACUCUGUUAUUAGGGAAGAACAUAUGUGUAAGUAACUGUGCACAUCUUGACGGUACCUAAUCAGAAAGCCACGGCUAACUACGUG